rnacentral:rRNA from 1 species
ACCCCGAGGAAAAGAAAUCAACCGAGAUUCCCCCAGUAGCGGCGAGCGAACGGGGAGGAGCCCAGAACCUGAAUCAGCGUAUGUGUUAGUGGAAGCGUCUGGAAAGUCGCACGGUACAGGGUGAUAGUCCCGUACACAAAAAUGCAUAUGUUGUGAGUUCGAUGAGUAGGGCGGGACACGUGACAUCCUGUCUGAAUAUGGGGGGACCAUCCUCCAAGGCUAAAUACUCCUGACUGACCGAUAGUGAACCAGUACCGUGAGGGAAAGGCGAAAAGAACCCCGGCGAGGGGAGUGAAACAGAACCUGAAACCGUGUACGUACAAGCAGUGGGAGCACCUUCGUGGUGUGACUGCGUACCUUUUGUAUAAUGGGUCAGCGACUUAUAUUUUGUAGCAAGGUUAACCGAAUAGGGGAGCCGUAGGGAAACCGAGUCUUAACUGGGCGAAUAGUUGCAAGGUAUAGACCCGAAACCCGGUGAUCUAGCCAUGGGCAGGUUGAAGGUUGGGUAACACUAACUGGAGGACCGAACCGACUAA